rnacentral:rRNA from 1 species
UACGGAGGGAGCUAGCGUUGUUCGGAAUUACUGGGCGUAAAGCGCACGUAGGCGGCUUUGUAAGUUAGAGGUGAAAGCCCGGGGCUCAACCCCGGAAUUGCCUUUAAGACUGCAUCGCUUGAAUCCAGGAGAGGUGAGUGGAAUUCCGAGUGUAGAGGUGAAAUUCGUAGAUAUUCGGAAGAACACCAGUGGCGAAGGCGGCUCACUGGCCCGGUACUGACGCUGAGGCGCGAAAGCGUGGGGAGCAAACAGG